rnacentral:rRNA from 1 species
CGGACGGGUGAGUAACACGUGGAUAACCUACCUAUAAGACUGGGAUAACUUCGGGAAACAGGAGCUAAUACCGGAUAAUAUAUUGAACCGCAUGGUUCAAUAGUGAAAGACGGUUUUGCUGUCACUUAUAGAUGGAUCCGCGCCGCAUUAGCUAGUUGGUAAGGUAACGGCUUACCAAGGCAACGAUGCGUAGCCGACCUGAGAGGGUGAUCGGCCACACUGGAACUGAGACACGGUCCAGACUCCUACGGGAGGCAGCAGCU